rnacentral:rRNA from 1 species
GAUGAACGCUGGCGGCGUGCUUAACACAUGCAAGUCGAGCGAAGCACUUUACUUGAUCUUUUCGGAGUGAUUGUUUUGUGACUGAGUGGCGGACGGGUGAGUAACGCGUGGGUAACCUGCCUCACACAGGGGGAUAACAGUUGGAAACGGCUGCUAAUACCGCAUAAGCGCACAGUACCGCAUGGUACGGUGUGAAAAACUCCGGUGGUGUGAGAUGGACCCGCGUCUGAUUAGCUCGUUGGAAGGGCAACGGCCUACCAAGGCGACGAACAGUUGCCGACCUGAGAGGGGGACCGGCGACAUUGGGACUGAGACACGGCCCAAACUCCUACGGGAGGCAGCAGUGGGGAAUAUUGCACAAUGGGGGAAACCCUGAUGCAGCGACGCCGCGUGAGCGAAGAAGUAUUUCGGUAUGUAAAGCUCUAUCAGCAGGGAAGAAGAAGUGACGGUACCUGACUAAGAAGCACCGGCUAAAUACGUGCCAGCCGCCGCCGUAA